rnacentral:rRNA from 1 species
UACGAAGGGUGCAAGCGUUACUCGGAAUUACUUGGCGUAACGGGCUCGUCGGCGGCCAACUAAGUCAGACGUGAAAUCCCUCGGCUUAACCGGGGAACUGCAUCUGAUACUGGAUGGCUUGAGAUUGGGAGAGGGAUGCGGAAUUCCAGGUGUAGCGGUGAAAUGCGUAGAUAUCUGGAGGAACACCGGUGGCGAAGGCGGCAUCCUGGACCAACACUGACGCUGAGGAGCGAAAGCCAGGGGAGCAAACGGG